AAAAAUUUAGUUAAAAUAUAACAUUAGUUUGUCAAACUAAAAUUAUUUAGAAAAUAAUUUUUA
rnacentral:tRNA from 1 species